AGCGAACGCUGGCGGCAGGUUUAACACAUGCAAGUCGAGCGGGCAUAGCAAUAUGUCAGCGGCAGACGGGUGAGUAACGCGUGGGAACGUACCUUUUGGUUCGGAACAACACAGGGAAACUUGUGCUAAUACCGGAUAAGCCCUUACGGGGAAAGAUUUAUCGCCGAAAGAUCGGCCCGCGUCUGAUUAGCUAGUUGGUGAGGUAAUGGCUCACCAAGGCGACGAUCAGUAGCUGGUCUGAGAGGAUGAUCAGCCACAUUGGGACUGAGACACGGCCCAAACUCCUACGGGAGGCAGCAGUGGGGAAUAUUGGACAAUGGGCGCAAGCCUGAUCCAGCCAUGCCGCGUGAGUGAUGAAGGCCCUAGGGUUGUAAAGCUCUUUUGUGCGGGAAGAUAAUGACGGUACCGCAAGAAUAAGCCCCGGCUAACUUCGUG
rnacentral:rRNA from 1 species